GCCUGGGUGGCUCAGUCGGUUGAGCGUCUGACUUCAGCUCAGGUCAGGAUCUCAUGGUUGGUGAGUUUGAGCCCCGCCUCGGGCU
rfam:Felis catus isolate Cinnamon breed Abyssinian chromosome E2, whole genome shotgun sequence.